rnacentral:lncRNA from 10 species
CCCGGCUGAGGUCAGAAGAGUUGGCCCCACCCUGCAGGAAGGGUUCCCAGUGACAUCUGGGUCUGCUCUGGCUGCCCCCCUCCCCCGCCCGGGGGCUUUUGCUGCACUGGGGUCUCUGGACAUGCGCAGUUGUUUUCUUCCUCCCAGAUACCAACAAGUCCUCUCCCGGAACCUGAAGAAAAAGCAAUAGAGACAAACCCUGAACAGGCAGAAGAAAUAAAACCUAGUGAGCUCGAGGAGGAUGAGGAUGCUGAAGAGCCUGACCUGACCUGUUGUGACCUUUGUAUUUGAUGGUGGAAAUCCCUAAAGGAGUGAUGGAAUUAAACAUAUGAAGAUCUAGAAGGACUGGAGCCUCCGGAAAAAGAUCGGACAUUACCUGCAAGUGCUCCUAGUCAGGAAUGUUCCAGUCUUUGUGGCUUUUCUGAAAUCUGACAUUAGAAAAUCACUAUUGUUC